AAUCAGGGCAAAUAAAACCCAACACCUUUCGAGAUGAUUGUAGGAAAUAUUGAAGAUUUCAAGAUAUGUAAGAGAAGCAAAUUGUGCUGGUAUAUCUCCUACAAAAUGGUUACUUAACAGAUCCAAUAAUUCAACCGAGCAUAAACUUCCAAGUGAUGAUGGUAUUUGACCUUCCAAUCUAUUAUGAGAUAUUUUGAACGCACGGAGUGCAAUAAGAUCUCCCAUAAUUAUUGGAAUGUGUCCUUCGAAUUUGUUAAUUGGAAGAUCGAUAGUGGUGUACAAGAACAAGAUUCUCGUUUUCACGCUCAAAUCCCUUGGAUACGACAACUAUCAAGUCUUGGGAAUAUCACUCUCCUUCACGACUUGGUGCAUUCAUCGUUUUAUCAAUUGUUCUCAUGGCUUUCAAAUGU
rnacentral:misc_RNA from 1 species